ensembl:rRNA 5S_rRNA 5S ribosomal RNA
CCAUGCAGCCUUUCCAGGAUGUAUGUGGUCUUUCUCUCCUUUUAAAAGAUAAACUUAACUGGGGUCGGGCCUGUUUAGUACUAGGAUAGGAGGCCACCUAGGAAGACCAGGUGCUGUAGGCG